GGGCAAGCUAGCACAUGAAAAAAUUCAAUACAAGAGACAACUCUCGCCACAUUGAAUUCUACAGCCACAACAUAAGCUUAUGACAAUCUACAAAACCUUUGAGACAGGAAAAUCCCAGUUAUCUUAAGUGCAUCGCUCAAAAGAUCUUUUAUCACAAACAUAAAUAUGAAUAUUUUCAAGUUUUAAGAACCAGGUACCACAUAUGGAGUUCUCAUCUUGUCCAAUGCUUCACCGCUUUUUGUUAUGCCUCUUGCUGCUCUUCUUACGGCUAGUCCUCCCUUCAGAAUCAGACUCGGAAUCUGAGUAUGAAUCAGAGGACUCAGAUGUUGAGCUGUAUUUCCGGUGUCUCCUCUUCUUCUGCUUCUUCUUCUUCU
rnacentral:misc_RNA from 1 species